UGGGCUCUGAAUCCGCCCCGACCUCAACCCAGCUCUCUUUCUGUCUUGUCAGUGGGAGAGGACUGAGUCAGGAGAAUAUCAAGCUGUUUUAUUUCAGCAAAUGCUCAUAACAGCUGUAUUGCUGUGCGAAAAGCGCUGUGCUUUAAUCCUGUUACCUUAAAUUUAGGUCGAACUCUACCUUGUCACACUGCUCAGCCUUCUGAGCCUUUCUCCAUCUCAGACAGAGACACGAAGGCUUCUUAGAACAACUGCUUCUUAUUGUUAUGAAGGUUAAAUGAGUUACUUUGGGAAGGCAGAUUGUUAACCACAGUGCUCUAUAAAAGGUGUGAUCAGGUAUUAACUUGCUGGCUUCCCCUCUGUUAGAGUGGGGAGCACCCUUUACAUGUUAAUUCAUCUUGAAAGGGAGGUGUAGACUUCAGGUAGGUCAGGUGCAUAUAAACUUCUUGUGGUGCAACCUCAGACCAACUCUUCCUCCUCGUAAGAACUGCUGCACUCCAACUGCAGGAGGUGUAUGUCUACACCUUGCCUCUUGCAUUAAGUUGUAAAUAUUAGUGAAGGUACCAAACCUCAUUCAUUAAACUUAGCACAGUGCCUGGUACAUGGCAGGCACUCAAUGAACACCCGUAAUCUUGUCUUAUCUCCUUAUACCUGCAGUUAAUGUCAUAUACAAUAGAUAUUUGAUUAAAGAAUACAUACACAUAAAGCUUAGCUGGGUGCUGUGGCUCAUGCCUGUAAUCCCAGCACUUUUGGAGGCCUAAGCAGGUGGAUUAUUUGAGCUCAGAAGUUCGAGACCAGCCUGGCUAACAUGUGAAACCCCGUCUCUAUUAAAAAUACAAAAAUUAGCUGGGUGUGGUGGCGCACACCUGUAAUCCUAGCUACUCAAGAGGUGGAGGCAGGAGAAUUGCUGGAAUCUUAAGAGGUGGAAGUUGCAGUGAGCAGAGAUUGUACCACUGCACUCCAGCCUGGGCGACAGAGUGAGAGAUACCGUGUCUCAAAAACAAAAAAUAAAACGUAGAAUAAGUUAGGAAAUUAUUUGUUAAAUAUCUGGAAAAGCUCUUUUACCAGAUAUCCAAAUGGCUUCUUUGCCUACUUCAGAUCUUUGCUCAAAUGUUGCCUUCUUAAGGAGGCCUUCCCUGCACAUCCUACUGAAAAUAUGCAGAUUCCUCCAGCAUCUCCGAGGAAUCCAAAAGCCUGGCAUACUGGCAAAAGCAUACACAGACCAUCUACAACAUGUUUGGACUUUCUGACUUGUCUAUAUUUUCACCAGGUAAAGAAAGCUUUUUAUGGUUCGCUGGGGACAAUCAACCCCUUCACAAUCUAGAACCUGAAGAUUGGAUAUUCUCAGAACAUCAGAGAAAGACUGUCCUUGCCAUUCACACUGCAACAAAACUUUGGAAACUUGAACCUUGGGUUCAUAAACUCACAACUGAGAAAGGUCCCUCCACACCCUUGGAACUGUACACCCAUUAGAACCCUCAAGGUAAAACUAAACAGGAAAGUUUCUCCAGAAAAGAAGAUGACAUCCUUGAUGUAAACAGGUUUUCCCAAGAUCACAGAUCAAGACUUCUACUAUCAUGAGAUUCUUUUUUUAUUUUUAUGUUUUGAGACAGAGUUUCACUC